rnacentral:rRNA from 1 species
UACGGAGGGUGCAAGCGUUAUCCGGAUUCACUGGGUUUAAAGGGUGCGUAGGUGGGAAUGUAAGUCAGUGGUGAAAUCUCCGUGCUUAACACGGAAACUGCCAUUGAUACUAGGUUUCUUGAAUUUUCUGGAGGUUAGCGGAAUAUGUCAUGUAGCGGUGAAAUGCUUAGAUAUGACAUAGAACACCAAUUGCGAAGGCAGCUAACUACAGGGAUAUUGACACUGAGGCACGAAAGCGUGGGGAUCAAACAGG